rnacentral:rRNA from 1 species
CUGAUUUGAUUUUUUGAUUUCAAGGAGUGGCGAACGGGUGAGUAACACGUGGGUAACCUACCUCUUAGCAGGGGAUAACAUUUGGAAACAAGUGCUAAUACCGUAUAAUACCAACAACCGCAUGGUUGUUGGUUGAAAGAUGGUUCUGCUAUCACUAAGAGAUGGACCCGCGGUGCAUUAGCUAGUUGGUAAGGUAAUGGCUUACCAAGGCAAUGAUGCAUAGCCGAGUUGAGAGACUGAUCGGCCACAAUGGGACUGAGACACGGCCCAUACUCCUACGGGAGGCAGCAGUAGGGAAUCUUCCACAAUGGGCGCAAGCCUGAUGGAGCAACGCCGCGUGUGUGAUGAAGGGUUUCGGCUCGUAAAACACUGUUAUAAGAGAAGAACGGCACUGAGAGUAACUGUUCAGUGUGUGACGGUAUCCUACCAGAAAGGAACGGCUAAAUACGUGCCAGCAGCCGCGGUAAUACGUAUGUUCCAAGCGUUAUCCGGAUUUAUUGGGCGUAAAGCGAGCGCAGACGGUUAUUUAAGUCUGAAGUGAAAGCCCUCAGCUCAACUGAGGAAUUGCUUUGGAAACUGGAUGACUUGAGUGCAGUAGAGGAAAGUGGAACUCCAUGUGUAGCGGUGAAAUGCGUAGAUAUAUGGAAGAACACCAGUGGCGAAGGCGGCUUUCUGGACUGUAACUGACGUUGAGGCUCGAAAGUGUGGGUAGCAAACAGGAUUAGAUACCCUGGUAGUCCACACCGUAAACGAUGAGUGCUAGAUGUUCGAGGGUUUCCGCCCUUGAGUGUCGCAGCU